GAGCCUUUCCAGUCAUGUUUGGCUGUCUACUCAGCCUCCAGGCUUCUGUGGUCUUGGGCGGUGGGAUCCCGCGUGUUGUUUUCCCGGUGGCCCGGCCGUGUCUGAGGCU
rnacentral:miRNA from 1 species